GUCCGGUACCGUACCGAACCCAGCCCUAGAUAGAAGGGUCUGGACUUGGUUUUGAUAGAGGUUGCCGUUGUUUUCAUGCGAUAGAAGGGAGUGGGUUUAGCUCUUUUCAAUCUUCGAUCUGUCGGUAAAAGGUGAUCUGCUACAACUAAACCAAUCGUGCUUGGGUUUUGGGUCUUGAAGAUAAUCGUGCUCGACCAACCAGAAUUGAUAGAAUGGAGAAAAGCCAAACCAUUCCAAUCUUGGAUCUGUGGGUGACAGGUGAUCUGCUACAAAUAAACCAAUCGUGCUUGGAUUUUGAAGAUAAUCGUGCUGGACCAACCAGGUGAUCUGCUACAACUGAACCAAUCGUGCUUGGGUCUUGAAGAUAAUCGUGCUAGACUAACCAGAUAUGGAUGGUUGAUUGGAACGGGGCCGUAACUUCUUUUACAUUAUUGUUUCUGCAAUUAGCUGAAGUUCAGACAAAGCAUAUAUGGUCCUUUUUGUUCCUUGCUGCGGAAUAAUCGACCCAAUUUCAGCGGUUCAGAAAUUUGAUGAGAUCGCAAAACAAUCUAUGUCAGAAGGUGAUAACAGCAAAGUCUACUAACCCCAAAUUAUCAUUCAUGACAUAUCAGACAAGGGAUUAGUAGAAAACUGGAGAAUACAUACAAAAGUCAAGACAAAGUUGCACUUCAUGAAAGCUCCAACCAAGAUGAAUGAAAAAGUAAUCUGCUUUCCAAGUUUUUUAAUACUUAGUUUUCCAAAAACAGUUUCACACUAUUAGAGAAGUUUAAAUUGUUUUGAUUUAAACUUUGCUUUAACUGUUCUCUUUACCACAAAUUAUGGCAUUCAAUUUCAAUGAGAAGCUUCCAGAUAGUGUUCAACUCUUCUAGAAUUAAAGUUGACAUUUUUGGAUAAAAUUCUGUGAUGAAUCUUUUACUUCACACUCAGUGAUUCCUUUAUCUUCAUCAUUUUUCUCAAUUUUAGUUACUCUAUGUUUCCCCUAUCUCGCAAAAUUUUCUAACCAAAUCUGAUUGCUGUCUUUCCUAAUUCUUCUUUGACCCGCCUGAUUAUAAGACUGGUUUUCAACACAAGGCCAUAGAGAAGUUACCUUCUUUCACUAAAUUUCAUUAUGGAUUGUUCAUUUAUGUGACUUAAGAAUCAAUGAAAGAUUAAAAUGGCAUUUUGUUGAAGCCACCAUGUUUUUCACUUUUUCACUUCCCCCUUUUUUAACACUACACAGAAAAUAUCUGGAUAUAUAUAUA